UAAAAUCUGAGGGGCGACAUGAGGGUCAAAUAAAAGUUGCUUUUCAGUUUGCUCCUCCAAGCCCCGCAUCAACCGCAGGGGGGUGAGAUUCCCAAAGCCACUUUCACACCUUCAAUAAUGCACUAGCAAAGAGAAGCCCGGAGAGGCUGAAGUUUCCACGGAGGGCACCAUCGGGGAGACGCAGCCCGGGAGGACGGGAGGAUUGGGCUCGCUACCUCUGCACACCGGCGAGCCGGGGCUCCGUCUCUCAGUGAGCACAGAUUGCAAAUUUCCCCAGAGGGAGAGGAAUGGGAGCAGGCACACUCAGCCUUCAGCCAUUCGCCAUGUGGAGAAGAAGCUCAGUCUACCUGGAGAGGCUACUGUAGGUAUUCUGGCCCACAGCCUCAGUUGAUCUCCCAGCGAUAGCCACCAUCAAUCAGCAGACAGGCAGGUACAGCUUCAUCUGAUGCUAAAAUAUUGAAAUGCUUCCACAUUGGUUGUAAAGAACUGCUAGCCUAAGCCCCUGCCUUGCUGGCUCCACCUCUGUGAUACUCCCGCUCUGCCCAGUCUGGCCUAGAAAAGACCAAACAGUCCUGCUCAAGUGCUGAGAUUACUGGAAAAGCCAUCCAGCUGGUCUCCCUACUUGCUGUCUUGUUCAUCUCCAUACUCUGCAGAGCAGCCAGGGCGACAUCUGACUGCAUCUCUCACCUGCUUGAAACCUUUAACCAUGGAUAAGCCUCUAGAUAAAUCCCCAACUCCCUGAUUUCACCAGACCUUCAUGACCUGAUCCUUCUUCAAAUCUCCCUUCCUCAGAGAUGCCAUCCUCAUCCAUUUAAGGUAGAGUCUUCCUGUUAUUUUUCUUUAUUUUUGUGGUGCUGGGGAUUGAACCCCGGGCCUUCCAACUGAGCUAUAUCCCCAGCUAUAUCCCCUUCCUGUUAUUUUUCUAGAACCUUGUUUGUUUUCUUCCUUGCAUUUGUAACAACUGGACAUUAUUAUGUUGAUUAUUUUGUAUUUGUUUCUCCAACUAAACUCCCUGAUGGUCCUACUUGCCUACCUUGGAUAUUGAUAUCUCCCUACCCCCUUAAUAUUUAAGUGGACGAAUCUGGAGCCCAGAAUGCUUUCUAGCUUUAUCUCUUGCUAUUUUUUUCUUGGAAUCUCUGAUAUAGUUGUAUGCAGUAAGCAUUUAUUUUAUAAAUAUUCAAUAAUAAAAAAUGUUCCAUGUAACCUUGGCCUGGAAUACUUUUGACUGUAACUUAAUGUCUUUUUAUCUGGCCAGCUCCUGCUUAUCGUCCAGGUAUUCACACUGGUACUACCCCAGGAAGCCUUACUUACUAGUUCCUUCAUGGCAGAACUCCUUAUGCUGCCAUUUAAAUGUGUGUUUCCUUUCCUACUUUUCUUACUAAGCCCUUUGAAGGCAAGGACUGUGUUUGUCAUUUUUUUUAACAACUGCAUCUGAAGCACCUUGCUUUGUCACUCAGUAACAAACAUUUAGCAGAAUAACUCAGUUUUGACGCAGCUAUCCCAAACUUCUGAGAGGGAACCAGGGAAUUCAUUUCCAUUUGGGUGGUAAGACUUUUAAAUUUGUAAGUGGUUAUAAGAAAAGGGAGGGGUUUUUUGGUUUUGAGAUUUUUUUUCCCCUAAGAAUAAAAUUUUCCUUAGCUUUCUAUGUUUCUGUAAUAUGCAGUGAUUCCACCUGCACCUCAUUAUUUAGCUUUAAGGGCAGAAUCUGAUUCAUAAAUUGCUAAAUUUACCAAUAGCCUAAGUGGGAUGUGCAAAGUGUGCACUACUAAAAAAAAAUCUAUAUUUAAACUGGGUUUUGUGAUAUCCUAAGAGGACAUAACAGGAUAGGAGUAUCUCUUCCUUGUGAUUUUUUUUGGUAUAUAUUCAUCAUAAAUUCAUGUAAUUUAGUUAAAAACAGAACCUCCUCCCUCUACUUGUUAAUGGCAGUUUUAUGGUUUCAUUCUACUGGGCACAUAAAUAUCUUAUAAUAUAAACAAGCCAGUGGUAUAAUGAAUCAUUUCAGUCUUUUUGUGUGUAUGUUUUUACUACA